GUCGAAGUGGCGAAAUCGGCAGACGCACCGGCUUAAGGGGCCGGCGCCCGCAAGGGCGUGGGGGUUCAAGUCCCCCCUUCGACACCA
rnacentral:tRNA from 1 species